AGCAGCCGCGGUAAUUCCAGCUCCAAUAGCGUAUAUUAAAGUUGUUGCAGUUAAAAAGCUCGUAGUUGAAUUUCGGGAUCAAUACGUCGGUCGUGCUUCGGUACGUACUGGCGUCACUGAUUUCUCCCUUCUGACGAACCAUGAUGUCAUUAACUUGGUGUCAUGGGAAAUCAGGACUGUUACUUUGAAAAAAUUAGAGUGUUUAAAGCAGGCUCACGCUUGAAUACAUUAGCAUGGAAUAAUGAAAUAGGACGUUCGAUCCUAUUUUGUGGUUUUUAGGACCAACGUAAUGAUUAAUAGGGAUAGUUGGGGGCAUUAGUAUUCAAUUGUCAGAGGUGAAAAUUCUUGGAUUUAUUGAAGACUAACUACUGCGAAAGCAUUUGCCAAGGAUGUUUUCAUUAAUCAAGAACGAAAGUUAGGGAUCGAAGACGAUCAGAUACCGUCGUAGUCUUAACCAUAAACUAUGCCGACUAGGGAUCGGGAUGAUUGUUUAAAUUUUUAUGUACUCUAUUCGGCGUCCGUUACGGGAAAACCUUAA
rnacentral:rRNA from 1 species